UUUUUUUUGGUGGUUAAAUUUACUGUUACAUGAUACUGUCAAUGUAGGUUAGUUCUCCCUGCCCCUGCCCCAGUGGGGCUUCCCUUAGCAAAAUUUAAAAGUUAGUUUCAAAAAGCUUUUUAAUAUUUGCGUGGCCCAUGGAACCAAAUAUUUGGGAAUUACAGCUUUUAUAGAGAAUUCUCCUGGCCUUUUAUUUGCCUUUCUAACUUUUGCUGUCUGUCUUUGGCUAUUUCAAGAAUAAUGUUAACGAAGUGUCAUUGAGCUGCCUGUGGGGCCAAUCCGUCCAGCACAAAUCAAUUGCCUUUGACCUUAAAGAACAAGUAGAUCUUCACCUGGAUGCUCUUGAAGGGACAGCUUACGCAGCACCUUGCUGCGUGUAGACUUUCUCUUCCCUCAAAUCACACAUUUAGCAGAGCUGCUCGGUGUCUGUCUCUCUGUCCCCACACUGCCGCAUUGCCCCAGCAUCCUCUGCCUCUCUCUGAGUGCUAUGACAUGCCCAACCUUUGGAAGCCUCCUCAUUUGGGCCCUUCCACCCUGCACGGACCCUGUGAGGUGUAAUCCAGCACCUUCUCUAUCCACACUUCCUCCUCUCAGCAGUCUUCCUAGGAUUUUGGGAGAUAAACUCUUGCAAAUUGUAAUGGAAUUUACAGCUCUGAUAAGUGACACUCCAAAAUGACAACUCUCAACUACAAUCCUCGUCCUUCAUCUUCAUGUGUCUCCCUCCCCUCCCAAUAUCUUUCACUAUCAAUAUUUUGUUAUCGGUUUAGAAAGUCAGCCCAUUGGAAAAUAAUUGAAUGGAGGUAAAAUGACCAAGGUAAGUAUUGAAGAGAUGGGGAAUUAGAAGAGCUGGCAGAAGAAGGGACAUGAUGAUGGAAUGAGCACCUUCUGCUUUGGACCCCUCAUUCACCUUAGGGCUCUGAAGCUUCUUUGGUCUGUUAUCUAGGUUGUAGUACCAUUCUUUGUUAUAGUGUGGUUCAUUUGUUUAUUUAUCAUCUUUCUAUUAAGUGCCGGUUGUGUGCUAGACAUCAUGCUAGGCACUGGGAUUAUGACAGUAUACAAAUGUAGACAUGGUUACUGCAAACACUGUUCAUACUGAUCCUGAAUCAUCAGGAUUGGGGAGAAAGGUAUAUUUAAAGAUCCCUGACUUGUUUUUGACAGAUUCAAUGCUCAAGGAAGUUUCCUUAGCCCAUUAAAAGAAGAUUCAAAGAUUUCAGGACGCAAUUGAUGCAUCCAAUCAAAGGGAACAAACGGAUUGCAAGACAAAAUUCAUGCCAGUGAAUCUUCAGUAACUAUUCUCUGGAAAAAGGCUUACACAAAGAUCACUGAUGUACCAAGGCAAAUGCCCCUUACGAGGGAAAGAGCCCGGAUCCCUGAACACAUGAGUCCCUCUUACUUUCUUGAUUUGCCUUUCUGAUGCCUAUGUGGCUGUUCCAUGCAUGAAGACUUUUAGAUCUCAGAAGCCAGUAAAGAGUGAAUAAGAUUCCAAGGCUAAGUCCCCCCUGAAACUACAUGCCACAUUCAGAAAGGACACUAAUUUUCUAAGAGACCAAGAUUAAAUCAGGCUGGCAUCUUGGAUCUGCUGGGGAGGAAGUCUGUUUAAUGCGAUUGACCUCUAAACAGAGUUCAUAUUAACAGUGACCACUGUGUACAUCCUGCUUUUUUAGCUGAAAGAUAAACUGUAUGCCCAUGUUAGAGAGACACAUGAGAAAACAUUGGUUUAGGAUGAAUUACAUUUAAAAAUUGAAAUGGAAAGAUCUUUGUAAAUGACCUGGUAAUUUUCUAUCAUCUGAAAACAUUUUAUAUAAAGAAACAAUUUAGGAAGAAAAAAAGACCUACUUUAGAUUAGAAAAUAUUUUUAAAUUAGGAGAGAAAGGGGUGGAGAUAGCGUGGAAAAAGAAGUUAACAUACAAAUUAUUACUGUCUUUAAACUCAGUUUUUAGGAGGUAAGUGGACUGGGCUUGGGUGUCCUUGGUGGCUUAGGAUAUGGAUGCUAAUGGGGCAGAGAGGACCAGAUAUAUGUGCAGAAAGAUAUGCACUUAGUGGGAUCUUCUCCAAGUAAGUGUUGUAUGUAGAAGAAUUAGACUUGAUGAGAACACUUGGUGAGGGUGGACUCUUAGGUGGAUCCUUGGAUGAGGUAGGAGCCCGUGACUGAGAGGGUGAAAUAAGGAGGUGGUAGGAAGGGUGUCCUUCCCUGUGUUGCAAGGCUGCUUCUCUUAAUUUUGUGACUUUACCACAAAGCACAGAGGACUGUAACCAACAUUUAAUAAGCCUUCAAUAAAUGUUGAUAUUGAUACCUAAAAUUCCACCCAUUAGACAUUGAUUUAUAUUAACAACUUCCUUCUUAAAGUAAAAGUUCUCUUGGGAAGGUUCAAGUCAAUUGACCAUUCACUCUUUAUGAUGAAUGUUUAAUAAGACUGCUUUCUUCUGGAUAUCUAGUUGAGAUUAGCUGAACAACGAGAGUUUUAUGGCUAAAUGGAUACGAAAACAUGAGGCAAUUUAGGGUCACGGAGAUGCUGGGCCGAGUUCAGGCACAAAUGGGGCCUUGGGAAGUCAGAAGUUCUUACUUCUCUAGAUAAUAUCCUCAAAAAGCCAAGUGAAGAAGAUAUUAAGAAGAAUGAGCCAAAAAUAACAACCGUGACUAUACCAUUUUGGGUACAGAGUUGGA
rnacentral:lncRNA from 1 species